rnacentral:rRNA from 1 species
GAGUUUGAUCCUGGCUCAGGAUGAACGCUAGCUACAGGCUUAACACAUGCAAGUCGAGGGGCAGCAUGGUCUUAGCUUGCUAAGGCUGAUGGCGACCGGCGCACGGGUGAGUAACACGUAUCCAACCUGCCGUCUACUCUUGGCCAGCCUUCUGAAAGGAAGAUUAAUCCAGGAUGGCAUCAUGAGUUCACAUGUCCGCAUGAUUAAAGGUAUUUUCCGGUAGACGAUGGGGAUGCGUUCCAUUAGAUAGUAGGCGGGGUAACGGCCCACCUAGUCAACGAUGGAUAGGGGUUCUGAGAGGAAGGUCCCCCACAUUGGAACUGAGACACGGUCCAAACUCCUACGGGAGGCAGCAGUGAGGAAUAUUGGUCAAUGGGCGAUGGCCUGAACCAGCCAAGUAGCGUGAAGGAUGACUGCCCUAUGGGUUGUAAACUUCUUUUAUAAAGGAAUAAAGUCGGGUAUGCAUACCCGUUUGCAUGUACUUUAUGAAUAAGGAUCGGCUAACUCCGUGCCAGCAGCCGCGGUAAUACGGAGGAUCCGAGCGUUAUCCGGAUUUAUUGGGUUUAAAGGGAGCGUAGAUGGAUGUUUAAGUCAGUUGUGAAAGUUUGCGGCUCAACCGUAAAAUUGCAGUUGAUACUGGAUGUCUUGAGUGCAGUUGAGGCAGGCGGAAUUCGUGGUGUAGCGGUGAAAUGCGUAGAGAUCUGGAGGAAU